rnacentral:rRNA from 1 species
UACGGAGGGUGCGAGCGUUGUCCGGAAUCAUUGGGCGUAAAGGGCGCGUAGGUGGCCCAGUCAGCGUGCGGUGAAAGCUCGGGGCUCAACCCCGAGUCGGCCGUGCGAACUACUGGGCUGGAGCACUGUAGAGGCAGGCGGAAUUCCGGGUGUAGCGGUGGAAUGCGUAGAGAUCCGGAAGAACACCGGUGGCGAAGGCGGCCUGCUGGGCAGUUGCUGACACUGAGGCGCGACAGCGUGGGGAGCAAACAGGAUUAGAAACCUGGUAGUCC